rnacentral:rRNA from 1 species
UACGAAGGGGGCUAGCGUUGCUCGGAAUUACUGGGCGUAAAGCGCACGUAGGCGGCUUUCUAAGUCAGGGGUGAAAUCCUGGAGCUCAACUCCAGAACUGCCUUUGAUACUGGGAAGCUUGAGUUCGGGAGAGGUGAGUGGAACUGCGAGUGUAGAGGUGAAAUUCGUAGAUAUUCGCAAGAACACCAAUGGCGAAGGCGGCUCACUGGCCCGAUACUGACGCUGAGGUGCGAAAGCGUGGGGAGCAAACAGG